rnacentral:rRNA from 1 species
ACUCCUACGGGAGGCAGCAGUGGGGAAUCUUGGACAAUGGGGCGAACCCUCGAUCCAGCCAUGCCGCGUGAGUGAUGAAGGCCUUAGGGUCGUAAAGCUCUUUCGCCUGUGAAGAUAAUGACGGUAGCAGGUAAAGAAACCCGCGUACAUCCGUGCCAGCAGCCGCGGUAAUACGGAGGGGGUUAGCGUUGUUCGGAAUUACUGGGCGUAAAGCGCACGUAGGCGGAUCGGAAAGUUGGGGGUGAAA